GACGAACGCUGGCGGCGUGCUUAACACAUGCAAGUCGAACGGAAAGGCCCUGCUUUUGUGGGGUGCUCGAGUGGCGAACGGGUGAGUAACACGUGAGUAACCUGCCCUUGACUUUGGGAUAACUUCAGGAAACCGGGGCUAAUACCGGAUAGGAGCUCCUGCUGCAUGGUGGGGGUUGGAAAGUUUCGGCGGCUGGGGAUGGACUCGCGGCUUAUCAGCUUGUUGGUGGGGUAGUGGCUUACCAAGGCUUUGACGGGUAGCCGGCCUGAGAGGGUGACCGGCCACAUUGGGACUGAGAUACGGCCCAGACUCCUACGGGAGGCAGCAGUGGGGAAUAUUGCACAAUGGGCGGAAGCCUGAUGCAGCAACGCCGCGUGCGGGAUGACGGCCUUCGGGUUGUAAACCGCUUUCGCCUGUGACGAAGCGUGAGUGACGGUAAUGGGUAAAGAAGCACCGGCUAACUACGUG
rnacentral:rRNA from 1 species